GAUCUCCAUGAUAUGAUCUUUCUCUAGCAAUAGCUGAGUUCAUGAUAAGGGGAUGCAAGGAUUAGCUCAAAAGCUUCCCAAGUGAUUUUCUUAAGCGACUAACAGAGCCACUCUUUUCUCCUAUUUUGUCUCAAAAAAUAAAAAGUAGAAAAUAAACUGCAGCCAAGUACCAUCUCUUGUUAGCUUAAAAUGUCAAUGAAUCCACACAAGAAUGAAAAUGACCUCGGCAAGACUUUGGCCAUGUAAGCUAAUCAGCCACAGCUUCAAAGAAUGCAGUAAAGUUCUUAUUUCAG
rnacentral:misc_RNA from 1 species